CUCUGACACAGGUGCUGCAUGGCUGUCGUCAGCUCGUGCCGUGAGAUGUUGGGUUAAGUCCGUAACGAGCGCAACCCUUGUCCUUAGUUACCAGCACGUUAUGGUGGCACUCUAAGGAGACUGCCGGUGACAAACCGGAGGAAGGUGGGGAUGACGUCAAGUCAUCAUGGCCCUUACGGCCUGGGCUACACACGUGCUACAAUGGUCGGUACAAAGGGUUGCCAAGCCGCGAGGUGGAGCUAAUCCCAUAAAACCGAUCGUAGUCCGGAUCGCAGUCUGCAACUCGACUGCGUGAAGUCGGAAUCGCUAGUAAUCGUGAAUCAGAAUGUCACGGUGAAUACGUUCCCGGGCCUU
rnacentral:rRNA from 1 species